GGAUCUCUGCAUUUGAACCCCGUUCUCCUGCUUGCCAAAAUAAUGAACCCCAAUCUCCGAUUUGAACCCCAGUCGCCUGACGAUAACUCACGAUCUCCAUUGUGAACCCCAUUCUCCAGAAAAUGCCGCAACAUCUCCCUUUCUCCAUUUGAACCCCGUCUCCAGAAAAUGCCUCAACAUCUCCUUUUCUCCAUUUGAACCCCGCUCUCCAAUCUCUCGUGAUAAUUCCGCUGGCAACGUCGGAAAUAACACCAAAC
rnacentral:lncRNA from 1 species